UCAAAACACCUUACAUCUCUCUCCCUAUUUUUCUCUCUCCCAGAAAGUCGAGAGCCACCACAACCGCCGCCGCACCAGAAAGUCUCCGAUCAAGAAUGACCCAGCCGCCGGUAAUUCCGCCGGAGAGGAAAACAAAACAAAAAAACUCAAACAAAUAUCCUUCAAUCGAUCGGCAAAAAACCCCCCACUCUUUUGAUCGAUAUAUAUACACUAGGAAAAGAAAAAGUUCUCCAUCAUUUCUUUUCAACAAAUAUGCAGCAACAUCACAGAAACUUUAGAGUAUGUAUAUAGCAUCGGCCAGUGGGAUCUGACUAAUGAGUGGAAGCUUUAGAGUUGAUUAUAAAAUCGCAGAAACUUACUUGUACUGUUGGGGACAUGGCCGAUCCAAGUUCAUAAGCCAUAUCGUUGUUAAAACUCUCUCUGUUCUACGAAAAAAAAAUCUGAUUUAUAGUAUUUGUCAAUAAUGCUCUGAUUUAUAGUAUUCUCCAUUAUCAAGCAGACAAACACUGGGGAAAGAAAAAGGAAAAAGGAAAAAGGAAAAACAGAAAAGAGAAAUUUGCAGCAACAUCGCACCCAUCAUUCACCAUUAUUGAGCAGACCAGUGUUGGAGAAAGAAAAAAGAAAAACAAAAAAAUAGUGAGAAAUUUUAGAUCUGCGGCUGUCAAAAUGUCAUCGCCCCUAUUCUGCCGCCGCGCAAGCUUGGAAAAGCUCCGAAAAAGUAUGACUUCCAUCCCAUAGAUCUAUUAAUAACUUAAAAAAUUAGUCAAUUUCUGCUAUAAGAAUUAUUGUUGAAUAUGAAAAGUUCAUAGAAGAUGUAAACAAGCAAUUUAGUGACUUAUCGAUCAAAACCUUGAGACGAUUUCCAUGGGGGAGAGAAGGAUAUCGUUUCUGCAAUUAACGAAGACAAUGAUUGAUUUUUGGAUGGUAGUGCACUUGACAACGAUUGUUUUGUUACUGAAUUUUUGGAUGAACGGGAUGAGGAGAUUUGUCUGAGAUUUGAUUCUCAGAUCUAGAUUUUUGGAUGAACGGGAUGAGGAGAUUUUUGGAUGAAUUUUUGGUACACUUGAUUUGAUUCUGAGAUUUGUCUGAGAUUUUUAAUUUUGGUUAUGUUGUUUUACACUUUUGC
rnacentral:lncRNA from 1 species